UCGUGUCGUGAGAUGUUGGGUUAAGUCCCGCAACGAGCGCAACCCUCACCCCUUGUUGCCAUCAGGUCAUGCUGGGCACUCUAGGGGAACUGCCCCGGUCAACGGGGAGGAAGGCGGGGAUGACGUCAAGUCAUCAUGCCCCUUACGUCCUGGGCUACACACGUGCUACAAUGGCCGGUACAAAGGGAUGCAACGCCGCGAGGCAGAGCCAAACCCAAAAAGCCGGUCUAAGUUCAGAUUGGAGUCUGCAACUCGACUCCAUGAAGGAGGAAUCGCUAGUAAUCGC
rnacentral:rRNA from 1 species